UAAGCAUAUCAAUAAGCGGAGGAAAAGAAACCAACAGGGAUUGCCCUAGUAACGGCGAGUGAAGCGGCAACAGCUCAAAUUUGAAAUCUGGCUCUUUCAGGGUCCGAGUUGUAAUUUGCAGAGGGCGCUUUGGCGUUGGCAGCGGUCCAAGUUCUUUGGAACAGGACGUCACAGAGGGUGAGAAUCCCGUACGUGGUCGCUAUCCUUCGCCGUGUAAAGCCCCUUCGACGAGUCGAGUUGUUUGGGAAUGCAGCUCUAAAUGGGAGGUAAAUUUCUUCUAAAGCUAAAUACUGGCCAGAGACCGAUAGCGCACAAGUAGAGUGAUCGAAAGAUGAAAAGCACUUUGGAAAGAGAGUCAAAUAGCACGUGAAAUUGUUGAAAGGGAAGCGCUUGCAGCCAGACUUGCCUGUAGUUGCUUAUCCGGACUUUUGUCCGGUGCACUCUUCUGCGGGCAGGCCAGCAUCAGUUUGGGCGGUUGGAUAAAGGUCUCUGUCAUGUACCUCUCUUCGGGGAGGCCUUAUAGGGGAGACGACAUGCAACCAGCCUGGACUGAGGUCCGCGCAUCUGCUAGGAUGCUGGCGUAAUGGCUGUAAGCGGCCCGUCUUGAAACACGGACCAAGGAGUCUAACAUCUAUGCGAGUGUUUGGGUGUCAAGCCCAGACGCGUAAUGAAAGUGAACGGAGGUGGGAACCCUUUGGGUGCACCAUCGACCGAUCCUGAUGUCUUCGGAAGGAUUUGAGUAAGAGCAUGGCUGUUGGGACCCGAAAGAUGGUGAACUAUGCUUGAAUAGGGUGAAGCCAGAGGAAACUCUGGUGGAGGCUCGCAGCGGUUCUGACGUGCAAAUCGAUCGUCAAAUUUGGGCAUAGGGGCGAAAGACUAAUCGAACUAUCUAGUAGCUGGUUCCUGCCGAAGUUUCCCUCAGGAUAGCAGUAACGUAUUCAGUUUUAUGAGGUAAAGCGAAUGAUUAGAGGCCUGGGGGUUGAAACAACCUUCACCUAUUCUCAAACUUUAAAUAUGUAAGAAGUCCUUGUUACUUGAUUGAACGUGGACAUUUGAAUGUACCGUUACUAGUGGGCCAUUUUUGGUAAGCAGAACUGGCGAUGCGGGAUGAACCGAACGCGGGGUUAAGGUGCCAGAAUAUACGCUCAUCAGACACCACAAAAGGUGUUAGUUCAUCUAGACAGCAGGACGGUGGCCAUGGAAGUCGGAAUCCGCUAAGGAGUGUGUAACAACUCACCUGCCGAAUGAACUAGCCCUGAAAAUGGAUGGCGCUCAAGCGUAUUACCCAUACCCCGCCGCCGGGGCAGAAUUUAUGCCCCGGCGAGUAGGCAGGCGUGGAGGCUCGUG
rnacentral:rRNA from 1 species